rnacentral:rRNA from 1 species
AGUGAACGCUGGCGGUAGGCCUAACACAUGCAAGUCGAACGGCAGCACAGUAAGAGCUUGCUCUUACGGGUGGCGAGUGGCGGACGGGUGAGGAAUACAUCGGAAUCUACUUUUUCGUGGGGGAUAACGUAGGGAAACUUACGCUAAUACCGCAUACGACCUACGGGUGAAAGCAGGGGAUCUUCGGACCUUGCGCGAUUGAAUGAGCCGAUGUCGGAUUAGCUAGUUGGCGGGGUAAAGGCCCACCAAGGCGACGAUCCGUAGCUGGUCUGAGAGGAUGACAGCCACACCGGGAAAGGGAAACGGGCCCGAGCCCCCAAGGGGGGGAGCAGGGGGGAAAUUUGAAAAAGGGGGGCAAGCCGAACCCGGCCAUCCCGGGGGGGGGAAAAAGGCCUUUGGGUUGUAAAGCCCUUUUUGUGGGAAAAAAAAGCAGCAGGUUAAACCCCCGCUGUUCUGGCGGUACCAAAAAAAGAAGCACCGGCUAACUUCGU